UAGAGUUUGAAUCCUGGCUCAGGACGAACGCUGGCGGCGUGCCUAAUACAUGCAAGUCGAGCGGACAGAUGGGAGCUUGCUCCCUGAUGUUAGCGGCGGACGGGUGAGUAACACGUGGGUAACCUGCCUGUAAGACUGGGAUAACUCCGGGAAACCGGGGCUAAUACCGGAUGGUUGUUUGAACCGCAUGGUUCAAACAUAAAAGGUGGCUUCGGCUACCACUUACAGAUGGACCCGCGGCGCAUUAGCUAGUUGGUGAGGUAAUGGCUCACCAAGGCAACGAUGCGUAGCCGACCUGAGAGGGUGAUCGGCCACACUGGGACUGAGACACGGCCCAGACUCCUACGGGAGGCAGCAGUAGGGAAUCUUCCGCAAUGGACGAAAGUCUGACGGAGCAACGCCGCGUGAGUGAUGAAGGUUUUCGGAUCGUAAAGCUCUGUUGUUAGGGAAGAACAAGUACCGUCGAAUAGGGCGGUACCUGACGUACUAGCGAGACGCC
rnacentral:rRNA from 1 species